CCGGCCAGAUCCGCCGCCACCUCUGCUCGAGCUGCUCCCAUCGACCACGCCGCUGCUCGCGUGCUUCUUCUCUCCCGCGACCCCGCCAUUGAAGGUCUCGCAAGGCUGCACGCACCUCGGACCGCGUGUGCCUAGUUCUUCCCAGGACGCUGCCCCGACCCUACUACCCACGCCAUCAGGGGAGCUCGUCAAGAAGAUCGCAGGUCGAGUGGGAGGGAUCCAGUUGCGACGACACCGAAUCACUAGCAAGGCAGCUGCCUAGAAUAAUAGGUUGACUCACCUAUAUAUACUACUAUCUUGCAUCUCUCUCUUGUUUCUUCUUCUAUAUACUACUAUCUUGCAUCUCCAAUUUUUAAGUAAUCUUGCAUAUGUUAGAAACUACAUAUAUGGUCUCCGGUUUUCUUACCUCUACUCUAAAACACCAACGCAUCAACAAAAGAAGAUGGUAUUUUUGUUACGCUUUCAGUUCGUGUCAGUAGGGAGAUAUAAUGUUUUACAAUCUUUCUGGUUAUAUUGGAGUUAGGUUUUUUGAA